rnacentral:rRNA from 1 species
AGGGCGCAUGGCGGAUGCCUUGGCUCUCGGAGGCGAUGAAGGACGUGAUAAGCUGCGAUAAGCUUCGGGUAGGUGCAAAUAACCUUUGAUCCGAAGAUUUCCGAAUGGGACAACCCGGCAUUCUGAAGGAAUGUCAUCCAUCCUGGAUGGAAGCUAACGCAGGGAACUGAAACAUCUUAGUACCUGCAGGAAAAGAAAAUAAUAAUGAUUCCCCAAGUAGUGGCGAGCGAACGGGGAUUAGCCCAAACCAAUGUUGUUACGGCAAUAUUGGGGUUGUAGGACCACGAUGUCGCAAGAACUUUAGUGAGAAGAAUUCUUUGGAAAAUGAAACCAUAGACGGUGAUAGUCCGGUAUUCGAAGCUAAACGAAGCGUAGUGGUAUCCUGAGUAGCGCGGGACACGAGGAAUCUUGCGUGAAUCUGCCGGGACCAUCCGGUAAGGCUAAAUACUCCCGAGAGACCGAUAGCGAACCAGUACUGUGAAGGAAAGGUGAAAAGCACUUCGAAUAGAAGAGUGAAAUAGUCCCUGAAACCGUGCGCCUACAAGCGGUCGGAGCAGCGUAAGUUGUGACGGCGUGCCUUUUGCAUAAUGAACCUACGAGUUACUUUUUCCGGCAAGGUUAAGCAUUUCAAAAUGUGUAGCCGAAGCGAAAGCGAGUCUGAACAGGGCGAUUAGUCGGAAGGAGUAGACGCGAAACCAAGUGAUCUACCCUUGGUCAGGUUGAAGGUUAGGUAACACUAACUGGAGGACCGAACCGAUAAGCGUUGAAAAGCUUCCGGAUGAACUGAGGGUGGGGGUGAAAGGCUAAUCAAACUUGGAGAUAGCUCGUACUCCCCGAAAUGCAUUUAGGUGCAGCCUUGGGAAUUACUACUGUGAGGUAGAGCGACUGAUAAGAUGCGAGGGCUUCACCGCCUAUCAAGUCUUGAUAAACUCCGAAUGCGCAGUAGUUCGAUCCCAGGAGUGAGGGCAUGGGUGCUAAGGUCCAUGUCCUAAAGGAGAAGAAUCCGGACCAUCAGCUAAGGUCCCGAAAUAAUUGCUAAGUUGAACUAACGAAGUCAGAUUGCUAAGACAGCUAGGAUGUUGGCUUGGAAGCAGCCAUUCAUUUAAAGAGUGCGUAACAGCUCACUAGUCGAGGAGUUUGGCGUGGAUAAUAAUCGGGCAUUAAGCAAUUUACCGAAGCUAUGGGAUCAGUAAUGAUCGGUAGGGGAGCAUUCCACUCUGCGUCGAAGGUGAAGCGUGAGCUUUGCUGGAGCGUGUGGAAAAGCAAAUGUAGGUAUAAGUAACGAUAAAGGGGGUGAGAAACCCCCUCGCCGAAAGACUAAGGUUUCCUGAUCAACGCUAAUCGGAUCAGGGUUAGUCGGGUCCUAAGGCUCAGCCGAACGGUGAGGCCGAUGGCAGAACAGGUUAAUAUUCCUGUACUACCUUAAAGAGUGACGUGGAGACGGAGGCGUGAUAGCGCCGCGGACUGACGGAAUAGUCCGUUGAAGGGUGUAGAUGUUGAUCUUUGCAGGCAAAUCCACAAAGAGAGUCGAACCUGAUAGUAUACCAAAUUCUUCGGAAUAAGGUAAUAGUGCGUGUAAACAUACUCCCAAGAAAAUCCGCUAAACUUAAUCUUUAAGGUACCCGUACCGCAAACGGACACACGUAGUCGGGUUGAAUAUACUAAGGCGCUUGAGUGAUUCACGGUUAAGGAACUAGGCAAAUUGACCCUGUAACUUCGGGAUAAAGGGUCCCAACGAGAGUUGGGCGCAGAGAAUAGGUCCAGGCAACUGUUUAACAAAAACACAGGGCUGUGCUAAAUUGAAAGAUUAUGUAUACAGCCUGACACCUGCCCGGUGCUGGAAGGUUAAGAGGAGAUGUCAUCGCAAGAGAAGCAUUGAAUUGAAGCCCCAGUAAACGGCGGCCGUAACUAUAACGGUCCUAAGGUAGCGAAAUUCCUUGUCGGGUAAGUUCCGACCUGCACGAAUGGUGUAAUGAUCUGGACACUGUCUCAACCGUGAGCUCAGUGAAAUUGUAGUAUCGGUGAAGAUGCCGAUUACCCGCGAUGGGACGAAAAGACCCCGUGAACCUUUACUAUAGCUUAACAUUGAAUUUGGGUAAUUGAUGUGUAGGAUAGGCCGGAGACUUCGAAGCAGGUACGCCAGUAUUUGUGGAGUCGCUGUUGAAAUACGGCCCUUUGAUUAUUUGAGUUCUAACUCGUAGAUGCGAGGACACUGUUUGGUGGGUAGUUUGACUGGGGUGGUCGCCUCCAAAAGUGUAACGGAGGCUUCUAAAGGUGCCCUCAGGACGAUUGGUAACCGUCCGUAGAGUGUAAUGGCAUAAGGGCGCUUGACUGGGAGACAGACAAGUCGAUCAGGUAGGAAACUAGAGCAUAGUGAUCCGGUGUUUCCGCAUGGAAGGGACAUCGCUCAAAGGAUAAAAGGUACUCCGGGGAUAACAGGCUGAUCCCUCCCAAGAGCUCAUAUCGACGGAGGGGUUUGGCACCUCGAUGUCGGCUCGUCACAUCCUGGGGCUGGAGAAGGUCCCAAGGGUUGGGCUGUUCGCCCAUUAAAGUGGCACGCGAGCUGGGUUCAGAACGUCGUGAGACAGUUCGGUCUCUAUCUAUCGUGGGCGUAUGAAAUUUGCGUGGCUCUGACACUAGUACGAGAGGACCGUGUUGGACUGACCGCUGGUUUACCAGUUGUGCCGCCAGGUGCAUCGCUGGGUAUCUAAGUCGGGAUUGGAUAAGUGCUGAAAGCAUCUAAGUACGAAGCCAGCCACAAGAUUAGAUUUCU